rnacentral:rRNA from 1 species
GUGGGGAAUAUUGCGCAAUGGGCGAAAGCCUGACGCAGCAACGCCGCGUGGGGGAUGAAGGUUCUCGGAUUGUAAACCCCUUUCGACCGGAACGAAUCCCCUCCUGGUAAAUAAUCAGGAGGAUCGACGGUACCGGGAGAAGAAGCCACGGCUAACUCUGUGCCAGCAGCCGCGGUAAGACAGAGGUGGCGAGCGUUGUUCGGAUUUAUUGGGCGUAAAGCGUACGCAGGCGGUUUGGUAAGUCAGAGGUGAAAGCCCACAGCUUAACUGUGGCACUGCCUUUGAUACUGCCUUUCUAGAGUGCAUGAGGGGGAAGCGGAAUUCCGAGUGUAGAGGUGAAAUUCGUAGAUAUUCGGAGGAACACCGGUGGCGAAGGCGGCUUCCUGGCAUGUAACUGACGCUCAUGUACGAAAGCGUGGGGAGCAAACAGGAUUAGAAACCCGGGUAGUCC